CCUACGGGGGGCUGCAGUGAGGAAUAUUGGUCAAUGGCCGAAAGGCUGAACCAGCCAAGCCGCGUGAGGGAAGAAUGUCCUAUGGAUUGUAAACUUCUUUUGUCAGGGAGCAAAGUCACCCACGUGUGGGUGUUGGAGAGUACCUGAAGAAAAAGCAUCGGCUAACUCCGUGCCAGCAGCCGCGGUAAUACGGAGGAUGCGAGCGUUAUCCGGAUUUAUUGGGUUGAAAGGGUGCGUAGGCGGGCUAUCAAGUCAGCGGUAAAAUCGUGGGGCUCAACUCCAUCCAGCCGUUGAAACUGAUGAUCUUGAGUGGUCGAGAGGUAUGCGGAAUGCGUGGUGUAGCGGUGAAAUGCAUAGAUAUUACGCAGAACUCCGAUUGCGAAGGCAGCAUACCGGCGCCCGACUGACGCUGAGGCACGAAAGCGUGGGUAUCAAACAGGAUUAGAUACCCGAGUAGUC
rnacentral:rRNA from 1 species